AUUGAACGCUGGCGGCAGGCCUAACACAUGCAAGUCGAGCGGUUGAGGUAGCUUGCUACCGAUGCAGCGGCGAACGGGUGAGUAAUACAUGGGAAUCUGCCUGGUAGUGGGGGACAACGUCUCGAAAGGGACGCUAAUACCGCAUACGCCCUACGGGGGAAAGGGGGGGAUCUUCGGACCUCUCGCUAUCAGAUGAGCCCAUGUCAGAUUAGCUAGUUGGCGGGGUAAAGGCUCACCAAGGCGACGAUCUGUAACUGGUCUGAGAGGAGGAUCAGUCACACUGGAACUGAGACACGGUCCAGACUCCUACGGGAGGCAGCAGUGGGGAAUAUUGGCCAGUGGGCGCAAGCCUGAUCCAGCCAUGCCGCGUGUGUGAAGAAGGCCUUAGGGUUGUAAAGCACUUUCAGUGGGGAGAAAGGUUAUUCACCUAAUACGUGAGUAAAUUGAUGUUACCCACAGAAGAAGCACCGGCUAACUCCGUGCCAGCCGCCGCAGUAA
rnacentral:rRNA from 1 species